UGCGUGUACAGCCAAGGGCGGCCACUGUAACUACACGUGUGCAGCAAAUGAGGACUCAUUCUACUUUCUCUGCAACUCUAUAGACUGCUCCUGCUGUGUUAAAAAGCCCUCGUGCAGCAUUCCCACCACUGCAUGUACAGCCAAAGGAGGCCACUGUAGCAACAAGUGUAGUGCAACUGAGGAUCCACUCUACAACCUCUGCAAUACUGCAGACUGCUCCUGCUGCGUUCCAAAGCCUCCGUGCACUAUUCCCACCAGUGCGUGUACAGCCAAGGGCGGCUACUGUAACGACGCAUGCGGCGCAGAUGAGGAUCCAUUCUACAAUCUCUGCAACACUAUAGAAUGCUCCUGC